rnacentral:rRNA from 1 species
AGUGAACGCUGGCGGUAGGCCUAACACAUGCAAGUCGAACGGCAGCACAGUAAGAGCUUGCUCUUACGGGUGGCGAGUGGCGGACGGGUGAGGCAUACAUCGGAAUCUACUUUUUCGUGGGGGAUAACGUAGGGAAACUUACGCUAAUACCGCAUACGACCUACGGGUGAAAGCAGGGGAUCUUCGGACCUUUCGCGAUUGAAUGAGCCGAUGUCGGAUUAGCUAGUUGGCGGGGUAAAGGCCCACCAAGGCGACGAUCCGUAGCUGGUCUGAGAGGAUGAUCAGCCACACUGGAACUGAGACACGGUCCAGACUCCUACGGGAGGCAGCAGUGGGGAAUAUUGGACAAUGGGCGCAAGCCUGAUCCAGCAAUACCGCGUGGGUGAAGAAGGCCUUCGGGUUGUAAAGCCCUUUUGUUGGGAAAGAAAAGCAGCAGGUUAAUACCCCGCUGUUCUGACGGUACCCAAAGAAUAAGCACCGGCUAACUUCGUG